rnacentral:lncRNA from 1 species
UUUGGGCUCACUAGGCAAAGGAAUUCUCAUAAUAGCUUCAGCAUCAUCUGCAGCAAAGUUCUGCUGAAUUAAAGCUUCAUUCCACCUGUGGUUAGGACCAAUCAGCUCAGAAACUCUGGUGUCAGCUGGCAGCAUUGAUCUCACAAUUGGUUUAAAAGACAUUGGCCUAGGCAGCCAAUUACUGGAGUGGAUUUUAAUUUUUUCUCCUCUUCCAACUCUCC